rnacentral:rRNA from 1 species
GACGAACGCUGGCGGCGUGCCUAAUACAUGCAAGUCGAACGCAGUGGGGACGGGUGAGUAACACGUGGGUAACCUCCCAUCAGAGGGGAUAACACUUGGAAACAGGUGCUAAACCGAUACUGAUGGAUGGACCAGCGGUGCAUUAGCUAGUUGGUGAGGUAACGGCUCACCAAGGCCACUAUGCAUAGCCGACCAGAGAUGGGUAUCGGCCACCCUGGUACUGAGACACGGCACAGACUCCUACGGGAGGAAGCAGUAGGGAGUCUUUGGCGAUGGACGAAAGUCUGACCGAGCCACGCCGCGUGAGUGAAGAAGGUUUUCGGAUCGUAAAACUCUGUUGUUAGAGCAGCGGUAUCUAACCAGAAAGCCACGGCUAACUACGUGCCAGCCGCCGCGGUAAUUC